rnacentral:rRNA from 1 species
ACCAGACUCCUACGGGAGGCAGCAGUGGGGGAUAUUGCACAAUGGGGGAAACCCUGAUGCAGCGACGCCGCGUGGGUGAAGAAGCGCCUCGGCGCGUAAAGCCCUGUCAGCAGGGAAGAAAAUGACGGUACCUGAAGAAGAAGCCCCGGCUAACUACGUGCCAGCAGCCGCGGUAAUACGUAGGGGGCAAGCGUUAUCCGGAUUUACUGGGUGUAAAGGGGGCGCAGACGGCAGCGCAAGCCAGGAGUGAAAGCCCGGGGCCCAACCCCGGGACUGCUCUUGGAACUGCGCGGCUGGAGUGCAGGAGGGGCAGGCGGAAUUCCUGGUGUAGCGGUGAAAUGCGUAGAUAUCAGGAGGAACACCGGUGGCGAAGGCGGCCUGCUGGACUGCGACUGACGCUCAGGCACGAAGGCGUGGGUAUCGAACAGGAUUAGAUACCCGCGUAAA